CGCCUGGCGUUGUGGAAGAAAGUGCUGAUCGGGGGCUUCUGUUUGCUGGCGCUGUCUGUGUUGGUGGUGGUGGUUGUGCUGUGCUUCAAAUCCAAGAGAGGUAAAAGAGAAGCAGCUGCUGAAUUGUCAGUAAAGCCUUCACGCCCUAAAUCAGAUGACUCUUUAACAGUGAAUCUAACCCACGACACAGAGGUUUAUAACGCAGCCACAGACGCAGCGCCACUCUAUGAUGGCACGGAGGGGAGAGUGACCAAUUGGGCGCGAGAUAGCGUGGCGUCGCUUCCCGCUGACAUCAGCAACAGGAGCAGCUACAGUAUCCCAGCCACAGUCUAGAGAUGCCCCACACUGGGCUGGACAUUUGUAUUUACUUUCAAAGAAAUAGAAGUUCAAAGAAAGGACUUUGAGAGUAAAAAGGAAAAGAACACAAGAUACAGUAAUCCUGUUUGUGAUUUGGAAACUUUCUACACUAAGGUGUUUUCUCAGUAAAAAGGAUGUAAAUCAGAAACUGCUGCUCCCUCUCCCCUCCUCCUUCAAUCUAGGUGGCCUUUGGUUUUACAUUUAACGUUACUGUCUUUGUAUCUUCCCUCACCAUGUCCUCGUGAUGUCAUUUCCUUAAUUGUUGCAACUGCUCUGUUUGUCUAUUCUGCAUGUUUAAAUCUUUGUCACUGACUGAGUUGUAUACAUUUUAUCACCAUCGCAGGAAAUGUAUGUAUAUAUUUUUGGUUGAUCUGUUGACUGCAAGGUUGGAAGAGACGGUUGUAGAAUAAAGAUGGUGGUUUUAUUUA